AUGCUCGCUUUGGCAGCACAUAUACUAAAAUUGGAAUGAUACAGAGAAGAUUUGCAUGGCCCCUGCGCAAGGAUGACACACAAAUUUGUGAAGCGUUCCAUAUUUAA
rnacentral:snRNA from 1 species